rnacentral:lncRNA from 1 species
AUGGGUCAUGCUUUACCGUGUGGUUUGCUAACCAGGAGUCUGAUGUUGGAGGAGAGCAGUGGUGCUUCUGCUCUUCCCAGACGUGCCCACAGCCAUGCUGUGGAGAAGACGUGGAAGACAGAACUGAGAAGUGCAGUGGACGCACAGAGGUGGUGCAGCUGCAGUGCCCAGCACGCCGCCCAGCCCGGAUUCGGCCGAUGGUGCAUCAGUCCCCCCAGGUCCAUCCAGGAACUGGGACCCAGGCUUGAGGCAUUAUCAGAGGUGAUGAAAGCAACUAAAAAUUACAGUUCCACUUCCUGUUUUGCAAUGAGAAAUGAUACCAAAUACAGCCUGGAAAGGAUCCACAACUGUCAUUGGAAGUUUUUGAGAUCUUGCAUCUCCAGAACAUCCCAACUGACUUUAUUGCAGGAUGACUUUGGCAACAUUUUGGUGGAACUCCAGGCAUGCUUGAAAGCAACAGCAACAGUGUUUUUUUCUUCAGUGAACUAG